CAAUCCAAGUAGUAGGUCAAUAUUUUUCCACUUAGUUGUGGACAUUUGGUUCCAUUUAGUGUCACAAUUGCAGAAAAUAUCUUUAAAAGGUUUGUCCAUCAUUAAAGCUGUUAUUCACGGCUUCAGCAUAGAAUAAAAUAAACACAGAGAGUCAAUAACAAGAGCAAAAAGUAAAUUCUAAAUCUCUUGACCAUGAAAAGUUAAAGUUCUGUUUUUGAUGAAUGAUUUACAAUUUGUGUAUUUUAGAAACUAAACCUAUUUUUGGAGGAAUAAAUGAAAACUUUAAAAGAUUUGAAUGAGUGAUAGACCGAGUACCAGUGACAUUAUCUGGACAAGCUCCUUUUUUUUUUCAGAUGACUAUAUCUUAAUAUGCGCUCGAGUCUUGCCCAACAAUGACAGCUGUUCAUCUGAUAGUAACUUCUUUCCAAGUUUUCUCCCCUCCCACCCCGGGGCCCCCGGUCUCUGUCUUGCUUUGUUGUUUUAAAAUAUGCAUGUCUCUCCGGAAUGCCAGUCACGGGUCCAAACUUUGUGUGUCCCAACCUCCCACAUGAUGAAAUGAUCCUUUUAAAGCGGGCUCAAUAUGUCUCAAUCUGCACUCCUCUUCCCUUCUCUAAAGCUUCUGGGUUCGGGACACAGCCCAGAAAUAUAUUAAUUAAAGCGCACUACGACAGACUUUUUUUAAGCGCUGGGGGAAGAAACGGUUGGAUCAAGUCAAGCUCUGUCAACGACGGAUGGAUGAAGAUUCACGACAGGAAAAGAAAAAAACUAGAUUGCUCGGAGAGGCUGCUGUAGGUCUAUUAUGAUUGACUGAAACGAUGCAUCGAAGGGUGUUUUUCAUCUGUGGCACGGAGAACCACUCCUGACAGUGCCUAUAGUAAACUUGGUGCUGGGCUCCCACCGUGGCCCAGACGGGGGUAAUUUGAUAGCAAGGCAAGGUCAAGACAGUGCGCUGUCCAUGGUGCUGCGGCGGGGCAGGCUGGAUGUUAUCAUCAAAUUAGACAGGACAAGUUUCAAAUCGAUGCCACCCCCGGAUGUCUGGAGACCGCCAGCAGUCGGAGUUAAAGUCCUAACAAGUCCCCCCUGACAGGGAGCUGCUGCGUGUGGUGACGGUGUUGGGGGUCUCUUCUGCCGCCUCGUCCUCUUUCGCCUCCAGGGCCUCACUGAAGAACCUGAAGAUGGACAUGAAACUCAUCCAGGAAGUCAGCUCAUGCCUCUCUGUGCCUACAUAAGCAAUCAAUGGUGCAGCGCUCUCUCGUUCACCCUGAACUGGCGGUGAACUCCUGCGGAACGCCGCCAGCCUCUCCACCCUAUCCCAUCGCAGUUCGGGGUCACCAGGGGGGCGUCUCUGUGCCAAUAUGCAGAUGAGACUGUGCCCCUCCAGUGACUCUGGUGUUAAGAUCCACCCCUCUAUAUGGUGGAGGCUUUGAGAUGAAGUCCAAUCCCCCCACCCCACACACACACACACACACACACACACACACACACACACACACACACACACACACACACACACACACACCCCACCCAGACAACACUCACACACAGAGACAUAAACCCACUCUCACAUUGGCUUAAAUAGGCCUUUAACAGCUUUCGUCCUCUCUUCCUUUAAUAGCCAAAGUGUGUCGAACCUAAUGGAUGUUGUCAAAGCUGAGAUGUGACCACUGAUUUAGAGGAGGAACCCCUAUGACCAGGCUUCACUAGCCACUAAAGAUGGGGAGAGAAGGAGAGAAGGAGAGAGAGAGAGAGAGAGAGAGAGAGAGAGAGAGAGAGAGAGAGAGAAUUACCUCAGCUAUGCCACAAAUCAAAGUAAUAUCUUUAAAAGAUGUGGGGAUCGAUGAGGUGUCAUCUGGCUGUAUCUCGUGUGUAAAGUGAACGCAUAAACAGCCAAUGAGUUCUACUUUAUCCUCAGUUUUAGUUGCUGGCUGAAAAAGUUUUUCAGCUGAUAAGCAGAUUUUUAACAUUUUUUUUUAUGGCCAAUUGAUUUCAUGUAUUGUUAAAACAGGAUAUAACAGGCAAACAGCUCCUCCAUUUUCAGGAUUUUAAUUAUAACUUGUAUCUUGUAUUUAAUUGAUCAAACUUUGACAAUAAAAUACCUUGUAUAUUUA